GAAAUGCGAUAAGUAAUGCGAAUUGCAGAAUUCCAGUGAGUCAUCGAAUCUUUGAACGCACAUUGCGCCCUUUGGCAUUCCGAAGGGCAUGCCUGUUCGAGCGUCAUUAUCAACCCUCAAGCCCCGGCUUGGUGUUGGACGGCUGGCCUGUGAAGGCCCCUCCUAAAGACAAUGACGGCGUCCUCGGGACCCGCGGUACAUUGAGUCCUCACCGACACGUACCUCGUGGUCUCGGCGACCCGGUCACCUCUAUACAUUUUACCAGGUUGACCUCGGAUCAGGUAGGGAUACCCGCUGAACUUAA
rnacentral:misc_RNA from 1 species